AAGAAACUGUAAAUAGAAACAAUGAACAGUAUAUCCUUAAAAAGACUUUCAGUAUACAGGCCAGAGACCUGGGAAAUUAUUCCUGCAUCUUCAGAGAAAAUCAGGCACAAGUAACAUUUGUUUUAGAUGUUCCUGUAAUAAAAGACAAAAGAGACAAGCCGGUAGUGAGCUACACUGGAGAUUCAGUUGUACUGGAGUGUAAAAUCAAACACACACCAAACACCUGGAACUGGUACAAGGCAAACAAUACUG